ACUCCUACGGGAGGCAGCAGUGGGGAAUAUUGCACAAUGGGCGCAAGCCUGAUGCAGCCAUGCCGCGUGUGUGAAGAAGGCCUUCGGGUUGUAAAGCACUUUCAGUCGUGAGGAAGGUAGUGUAGUUAAUAGCUGCAUUAUUUGACGUUAGCGACAGAAGAAGCACCGGCUAACUCCGUGCCAGCAGCCGCGGUAAUACGGAGGGUGCGAGCGUUAAUCGGAAUUACUGGGCGUAAAGCGCAUGCAGGCGGCCUGUUAAGUCAGAUGUGAAAGCCCGGGGCUUAACCUCGGAAUUGCAUUUGAAACUGGCAGGCUAGAGUCUUGUAGAGGGGGGUAGAAUUUCAGGUGUAGCGGUGAAAUGCGUAGAGAUCUGAAGGAAUACCAGUGGCGAAGGCGGCCCCCUAGGACAAAGACUGACGCUCAGAUGCGAAAGCGUGGGGAGCAAACAGGAUUAGAUACCCUGGUA
rnacentral:rRNA from 1 species